rnacentral:rRNA from 1 species
GAAACUUUCACAAUGGACGAAAGUCCGAUGGAAGAAUGCCGCGUGAGUGAAGAAGGUUUUUGGAUCGUAAAACUCUGUUGUGAGGGGAGAACAAGAACGAGAGUAACUGCUCGUACCUUGUCGGUACCUCAUUAGAAAGCCCCGGCUAACUACGUGCCAGCAGCCGCGUUAAUAAGUAGGUGGAAAGCGUUGUCCGGAAUUAUUGGACGUAAAGCGAGCGCAGGCGGUCCUUUAAGUCAGAUGUGAAAUCCCACGGCUCAACCGUGGAAGGUCAUUGGAAACUGGAGGACUUGAGUACAGAAGAGGAAAGCGGAAUUCCAAGUGUAGCGGUGAAAUGCGUAGAGAUUUGGAGGAACACCAGUGGCGAAGGCGGCUUUCUGGUCUGUAACUGACGCUGAGGCGCGAAAGCGUGGGGAGCAAACA